rnacentral:rRNA from 1 species
AGCAGCCGCGGUAAUUCCAGCUCCAAUAGCGUAUAUUAAAGUUGCUGCAGUUAAAAAGCUCGUAGUUGAAUUUCGGGACCAUCAUGUCGGUCGUGCCUCGGUACGUACUGGUAUUGUUGGUUUCUCCCUUCUGACGAACCAUGAUGUCAUUUAUUUGGUGUUGUGGGGAAUCAGGACUGUUACUUUGAAAAAUUAGAGUGUUUAAAGCAGGCUCACGCUUGAAUACAUUAGCAUGGAAUAAUGAAAUAGGACGUUUGAUUCUAUUUUGUUGGUUUCUAGGAUCGACGUAAUGAUUAAUAGGGAUAGUUGGGGGCAUUAGUAUUCAAUUGUCAGAGGUGAAAUUCUUGGAUUUAUUGAAGACUAACUACUGCGAAGCAUUUGCCAAGGAUGUUUUCAUUAAUCAAGAACGAAAGUUAGGGGAUCGAAGACGAUCAGAUACCGUCGUAGUCUUAACCAUAAACUAUGCCGACUAGGGAUCGGAUGAUGUUAAUUUUUAAUGUA